AGGGAGUUAGCUCAAAUGGUAGAGCACUUGCUUAGCAUGUGAGAGGUAGUGAGAUACUCACAUCCUCUA
rnacentral:tRNA from 1 species